GCACAAUGUGCACAUGUACCCUAAAACUUAAAGUAUAAUUAAAAAAAAAAAAAGAAAAUAAUUGAUCACUGAAAUGUAAAAAAAAAAAAAAAAAAAAAAAAGAAAUUGAGGUGGUUGGAUCUUGACUUUGUUAUUUACCUAGUAGAUGACCUUGAGGAAGUCAUUUAACCUCUGUCAUUCAUUCCUUUAUCGUUUAGUUGAGCAAAUAUAUAUUGAAUUCCUGCUAUGCCACCCAUUAGGCUAAGUAUCAGGAUUACAAUGAGACAUUCUUUCUGCUUUUGUUAACCUCAGAACCUUAAUUACUACUAACAAUGGUUGACAUUUGUUGACUUUGGUCUGUGUGUCAGGCCAUAUGCAUUUUACAUGGAUUAUGGCAAUUCUCACAGCAUCCCCAAAAUAGUUAUUAUUAUCCCUAUUUUGCAGAUAGGGAAACUGAGGCUCAUGUAAGUUAGAUAAUUUAUUCAAAAUCAUGGAGCAAGUGGCAAAACUAGGACAUUUAGUCCAGAGCUUAAGAAUUUAACCAUGUUACUAUACAAUAACUUCUAAUUUGCUAAUCUAAAAAUGUAGAUAAUACUGCUUACCUAAACAUAUUUUAUAAGGUUUUGUGAAAGUAUUUAGUAUUUAGUAAGCUAUUAGGUAUCAGUAAAAUGCAUUUAGCUAUUACAAUAGGUCAAUUGAAUGGUGGAGUAGAAAUAGCACAGGGGUGAAUACAACACUGGGUAGUGUGGCCCUAGGGAAGUGAUUUUCCCUCUUUGAGUCUCUGUUGCCUUAUCUAACACAACAGAGGAAAUCGUGCCCACCCUGCCUUUCUGGAAACUAUUGGAAGGAUAGAAAAAAAUUGUGAAUGUGAAAUGCUGUGUAUAUUGUAAAGGGCUGUGAGAAUUUAAGAUUUACCUCAAUAUAUAGUGACAUUUGUAUUUUGAUAGGCAUCAUGUAGAGUCUCAAGAUGUUCUAAGCUAUAAUCCCAUGUUUAUUAAUGCCUGAGAAUCCGAAUCCUGUCUUCCUAAGAAGUGAAGUUAAUCAGAAAGAACAAGGACAAAGUCAUCUCACAAACUAUUAGAGUCGCUAGGUACCUUAUACACUUUGGAAUGCAUUAAAAUGAAGCUUCUGGGUCCUGCCAUCCAGAUACUCUGAUUUGUUGGCUCUAGACUGGGGCACAGGAGGCCACAUUUUUAACAUACACCUCACUCUAGUUAAUUCUGAUUCAGGGAGUACUUAGAUCAUAGUUUGACAAUCUCGGAUGUUAUGAAGACCUUCCCUUUAUAGAUUGGACAUGGAUACACCUGACUUCUAGGAAAACACUCUACUUGAAACACUCUAUUGAAAAUUAAUUCAUUAACUCAAGUAUUCAUUGAGUGUGUACUAUGUGCUAUGAAGUUUUUCUUGAGGUAUUGAGGAUACAGCAGCACACAAAGUGCUUGCUUGCCUCAUGAAAGUGACAUUCUAAUAGGGCAGAUGAACAGUAAAGUGAUAAAGGCAUUAAUAAAUGAUACAGUGGGUGUAGUGCGAAGGAAAAGUAGAUGUAUGAAAGAAAAUUAAGCAGGAGAAGGGGAUAGAGCGUUACAGGUGGGGCUGGGCUCCCUCAUAAAGCGAGGUUUCAAAGCAGACACAGUAGAAGUGAGAGAGGCUCUACAGGAAACUGAGGGCACAGGAUUAUGGGAGAGGGAAUAGCUCUAAGGCCAAAGUGUGCUUGGCACAUUCAGAGAACUGUACAGAGGUCAGUGGGCAGCUGAACAGGAAGUAAGGGGCAUACCUUAGCCUCAGUUUCAAAAACCUGCACCAGCUCCCAGUUCCCAAAUUCAUAACCUGGCAUUCAAAGCCCUUUACGAUCCGGCUUCAAUCUCUACUUUACUCUUUACUCAACUUUUCUCUUUAACACUGUGCUUAGGUCAAGCUUACCUCCUGACUUUGCAUGGCCCUUCUCUUUGGAUGGCACAUUUGACAGUGUCUCUAGAAUUUUUUGGUUGCCACAAUUAGGGGGGUUCUGUUGCAGUCAGUAGGUAGAGGCAAGGGAUGCUAUAAACUUCCUACAGUGUACAGGACAGCCCUCACAACAAAGAAUUAUUUGGCACAACAUGUCAAUAGGGCUGAGGUUGAGAAACCUUGGUUUAAUGACUCCUUAUUUUACAAAGCUGGGUCCUGUCUUGCACACCUUCCUUUAAGCUCCUUAUUCUACUCUGUAGGAUUUCUCUCUGAAUUGUGUGGACCUUUCAUAGCCUUUUUUUGUUGUUAUUAUGUCUAUUUCAAUGUGAUUUCCACACAAGUUUUGGAAUUAUAUAGCAUGGACUUAUUUCCCAGAUCUCCCUAUCUAUGUGAUCUCCCUUUUCCUUAUCUAUGAAACAGGACAAAUAGCAACCCCUACUUCACACGUUGUUGGGAGGAUUAAAUGAGUUUGUACAUGUAAAUCCCUCACAACAGUGCCUGAUACAGGGCCUAAUAAAUUUACUUAUUAUCAUAAUAAAAAUCAUUUAAUUUCUUUCACUUUUUCAUAUGAUCCUUAAAGGCAGUGAUUAUAUCUUGUAGUUAUAUCAUUAUAUUCCUUAUACCUCCUUAUAGAUGUAGGGCCAGAUGAAUUAGAGUUUCUUAUCAGAAUGGUAAUGGUGAGGGAUAAGUCUUUGGUAUAUUUCCAAUCAAUGGGCUCUAAAACUUUGAGAGUACAGGGUAAGUCCACCUCCCUUUGAGAAAAUGAACUCUUACCUAGGUCAAUGAAUAAACUCUUUCAGCUUACCAAAUACUAAUUCUUGAUCUAGGACAAAUACAUGACAGCGGCUGCACCUGAGUUUCAGGGAAUAGCUUUGCUCCUUUUUGUGUUAAGAUAAGGAAGAUAGAAAAAGAAAUGGUCAGAGUAGAAAGUGAAGCACAGGCUGAAGCUGAUAAGAAACAUGGUUGUGUGUGGCGCUGAUGGAGGAAGCGGCAAAGGGAACUAAUGAGCAGUCUGAAGACAGAGGGAGAGAUGUUCCUUUAGAGGCUGCAACCCUGCGUGCCCAUUUAAAAAGCAAAAACAAAACCCAGCAGUCCCCUGGUAUAAUUUCAGUGACCAGUGACCUCUUGGUAAAUAUAUCUCUUUGAUAUAUUUUCCAGCUUGCAAUCUAGAGAUCAGAGUAGCAAAACAAGACAAGCAGAGGCUAACAUAUUUGUGUGAGCAAAUACUCAUUACUUUACUGUCACCUAAUUUCUUGUGGAAGCAAACCAAGAUUUUCAUCCAUGGAACUCACUUAAAUUGAGAGAUCCUUACAGAGUUCUGGACGGAAGCAGAGAUCUGCAGUCCCAUCUCAUCUGUCCCCAACACCAGACUUCCAAGAGGUAUCAGGAAGGGCAAAGCAAAUGAGCUAUGCCCAGUGAAGAAUGAACACAC
rnacentral:lncRNA from 10 species